rnacentral:tRNA from 1 species
GGUGGGGUAGAGCAGCCGGUAGCUCGUCAGGCUCAUAACCUGAAGGUCGUCCGUUCAAAUCGGACCCCCGCAACCA